AUGACCCCAGGUCAGUCGGGACUACCCGC
rnacentral:rRNA from 1 species